GCUUGGCUUCUUUGCUGACGAGUGGCGGACGGGUGAGUAAUGUCUGGGAAACUGCCUGAUGGAGGGGGAUAACUACUGGAACGGUAGCUAAUACCGCAUAACGUCGCAAGACCAAAGAGGGGGACCUUCGGGCCUCUUGCCAUCGGAUGUGCCCAGAUGGGAUUAGCUAGUAGGUGGGGUAACGGCUCACCUAGGCGACGAUCCCUAGCUGGUCUGAGAGGAUGACCAGCCACACUGGAACUGAGACACGGUCCAGACUCCUACGGGAGGCAGCAGUGGGGAAUAUUGCACAAUGGGCGCAAGCCUGAUGCAGCCAUGCCGCGUGUAUGAAGAAGGCCUUCGGGUUGUAAAGUACUUUCAGCGGGGAGGAAGGGAGUAAAGUUAAUACCUUUGCUCAUUGACGUUACCCGCAGAAGAAGCACCGGCUAACUCCGUGCCAGCAGCCGCGGUAAUACGGAGGGUGCAAGCGUAAUCGGAAUUACUGGGCGUAAAGCGCACGC
rnacentral:rRNA from 1 species